UACGAAUGGGGCAAGCGUUGUUCGGAAUCACUGGGCUUAAAGCGUGCGUAGGCGGAAACGAAAGUCAGAAGUGAAAUCCCGGGGCUCAACCCUGGAACUGCUUUUGAAACUCCGUUUCUAGAAUCCGGUAGAGGUCAGGAGAAUUCCUAGUGUAGAGGUGAAAUUCGCAGAUAUUAGGAGGAAUACCAGUGGCGUAGGCGCCUGACUGGGCCGGUAUUGACGCUGAGGUACGAAAGCGUGGGUAGCGAACAGG
rnacentral:rRNA from 1 species